rnacentral:tRNA from 1 species
GGGCGAGUGGCGAAAUGGCAGACGCGCUGGCUUCAGGUGCCAGUGUUCGCAAGAACGUGGGGGUUCAAGUCCCCCCCCGCCCAC